AUUGAACGCUGGCGGCAUGCUUUACACAUGCAAGUCGAACGGUAACAGGUUAAGCUGACGAGUGGCGAACGGGUGAGUAAUGCAUCGGAACGUGCCCGGUCGUGGGGGAUAACGCAGCGAAAGCUGCGCUAAUACCGCAUACGAUCUGAGGAUGAAAGCGGGGGACCGUAAGGCCUCGCGCGAUCGGAGCGGCCGAUGUCAGAUUAGGUAGUUGGUGGGGUAAAGGCUCACCAAGCCAACGUUCUGUAGCUGGUCUGAGAGGACGACCAGCCGCACUGGGGCGGAGACACGGCCCAGACUCCUACGGGAGGCAGCAGUGGGGAAUUUUGGACAAUGGGCGAAAGCCUGAUCCAGCAAUGCCGCGUGCAGGAAGAAGGCCUUCGGGUUGUAAACUGCUUUUGUACGGAGCGAAAAGGUCUCCUCUAAUACAGGGGGCUCAUGACGGUACCGUAAGAAUAAGCACCGGCUAACUACGUGCCAGCAGCCGCAGUAA
rnacentral:rRNA from 1 species